AAUCAUAUAAUAUGUGGCAUUUGGUGACUGGUGUCUUUGAUUUAGCAUACUCUUCUUGUGAUUCAUCCAUAUGUUAGCAUGUUUUCAUAUUUCAUUCCUUUUUACAUAAUACUUCUUUAAAUGGCAGAAUUAUGUAGAGAAAAGAUCAUGGAUUUCAGAAGUAUGCAACGUGGGGCCAAAUCACAGUCAUUCCACUUCUUAGUUGUGUAACUUUGGGCAAGUUCCUUAACCUUUUUGAGACUCAUUUGUAACAAUAAGGCUAAUAAUCAUCUUUCCCUCAGAGGACUAUUCUGUGAAUUAACUGGAUCGUGCUGGCAAGUGAUGGGUGCUCAAGAAAUCCAGUUUUUGUCUCUACAUUCCCCAGGAGCCUUUGCUUUUCUUAACCCUGCUUCAGAUUUUAAGGUGAAUGCUACAGUCUCCCUACCGGCUUUCACAUCAAACUCGACAUGAGAGCCAACAUAAGUAGCAGUCAGGAAUGGAAUUCCACCAAGGAAAAUCAUCACAUCCUUCAUUAAUGAAGCCCACAUGCCUAUCUUCUGUGAUUGGAACAUGUCAUCAACUUGAGUUUCACCUUCGAGGAGUCCUGAAUAUAACCCCAUCGUACGGUCUUGGACACAAGUUGACAAAGAUGCUAUUCUUUUGCUCUGGGCAUAACAUUUCCUGUUGUAAAUCUGUUUCCCCUUCUGAA